UACGUAGGGGGCAAGCGUUGUCCGGAAUCAUUGGGCGUAAAGCGCGUGUAGGCGGCUCGAUAAGUCCGCUCUGAAAGUCCAGGGCUCAACCCUGGGAUGCGGGUGGAUACUGUCGGGCUCGAGUCCGGAAGAGGCGAGUGGAAUUCCUGGUGUAGAGGUGAAAUUCGUAGAUAUCGGGAGGAACACCGGUGGCGAAGGCGGCGACCUGGGUAGAUACUGACGCUGAGGUGCGAAAGCGUGGGGAGCAAACAGG
rnacentral:rRNA from 1 species